UGUUCAUAGGUUGUACAUAAAUCUGUGUUUACGUGGAUGAGCAAAAUUUUGAGCUGACAGAUCAAAAAUGAUCUUCGUAUCUUCUUAUUCUUAGUAUUUAACAGCGGUUGAUUGACAAUUCUCAACAGGAAGAAGUGCACUGUAAGGGGUCUUUCAAUCAUACCGUACCUGUGUUCUGAGCCUUGACAUUCCCACAAGGCAGAUUCUUCUUUGUGACAAUGUCUGCCCUCUUCAACUUUCAAAGUUUAUUGACCGUGGUACUUCUCCUCAUCUGUACCUGUGCAUACAUCAGAGCUCUGGCUCCCAGACUGCUGGAUAAGAACAAAGAAGGGUUACUGGGUAUCUUCUGGAAAUUUGCAAGGAUCGGCGAGAGGAAAAGUCCGUACGUUGCAGCCUGCUGUGUUGCCAUGGCAAUAAGCAGCUUAUUUUGGACAUGAGGAAACAAAGGAGCAAUUGUUCUUUCAAAAGACUACUAAUAUUUGUUCACAAUUUGACGCAAGACAUUGAUGGACCAACCGGAAAAAACAACAAAUAGUUUAAGGUCAUCGUUCGCCGACAUAGCGAGUGCUCGCAUUCCAGGCCAAAAAAGAUGAGGUAUGCCCCGUACAGCACUACAUGUAUGUAUCAAAGGGAGUGAUGUGGUGGGACAUAUUAUGUUCCGGCUAUUUUAGCGUUGCAUUCAACUUGGUAUAUGUCUUGAAAAUGUAACUAACACCCUUCAGAAGUCUCAACGUCAAAACCUCAAACUUAGUCUAAAACCCCAAAUAUUAAAUGUCCUGCCAGAACGUGUUUAGUAAUAAAUAGUCACCAGAAACUUUUUCUUCAGACGACAUGCUUUUUAAUCUUUAUCUCAAGUGUUUUAUGACAUUCAAGACAUGAAGCUCCAAUCAUUUUGAAGUGUAAAUCAUCAGCCAGGAUUAGAACUUUUUAAAAUUCAAUUAUCAAUUUCUUUGAUGAAAUUGGGGUUGUUUGAUGAUGAUCCCAUGAUCAUUUUUAGGCAAGCUGCAUACAAAUACUGAAGAUGCUCCAAACCGUUUCCAAGAACUCUAAUGGCACACAGUUUUUUAUGGAGGGAACUUGGCGAAUAAAGGUAUGUUGUGUUUAAAGAGAAGUAUUUGCAUAGGAGUUUUGGGAUAGGUUUUCAUGGUUUGGUUUAGGUUCAUGUUUGUCUUUGGGUUUAUGGAGAGGGUUAGGGUUAGUUAUGUUUAGGGUAUGAGUGUAAAUACUGAACAUGUUUCCAAACAUUUCCAAGAAAGUCCAAUGGCAAUAAUCAGUUGAUCUUUAACAGUAGUUAUUGUGUUCAUGCCAAAUAAUUUUGUUUCAGAUUAAGUAAAAAUACAUAAUAAAUAACUCAAUGUACUAAAUUAAUGUAUAGAAACGCUUAAUAGUUUCGGAGGAAUAGAGGGCUCACGUGAUGCAACAAAAACUAACAUACCGGUACAUUGUAGGAGAACAUAGAAUACAUGGAUAUAUAAGAGCAAUUCAACCAGAUAAUAAUAACAUAAUAAAAUUUAUAAUUACAUUUCUGUGAAAAAAGCCAAUUUUGUGAGGAAGGUAUUGACCAUGCGGAACAAGCUUCUAACAAACCUAGGGAAAA